GGACCGGCUGUGUGAAAUUGUUAUCACCGUUUUACCGGGAGCGAAGGUGGAGGCGGCGGGGGAACCCGAAUGUGAGGAAAUACAAAGGAAGAAAGAAGAGCAAGAGAAUCUUCCUCAGCUCAUCCAUGAUGUCUGGAGUUUGCAAGUGCCUUCCCUUCUGUUUACGAUUGUGUUCUGCU
rnacentral:lncRNA from 1 species